rnacentral:rRNA from 1 species
AGUGAACGCUGGCGGUAGGCCUAACACAUGCAAGUCGAACGGCAGCACAGAGGAGCUUGCUCCUUGGGUGGCGAGUGGCGGACGGGUGAGGAAUACAUCGGAAUCUACUCUGUCGUGGGGGAUAACGUAGGGAAACUUACGCUAAUACCGCAUACGACCUACGGGUGAAAGCAGGGGAUCUUCGGACCUUGCGCGAUUGAAUGAGCCGAUGUCGGAUUAGCUAGUUGGCGGGGUAAAGGCCCACCAAGGCGACGAUCCGUAGCUGGUCUGAGGGGAGGAUAAGCCACACUGGAACUGAGACACGGUCCAGACUCCUACGGGAGGCAGCAGUGGGGAAUAUUGGACAAUGGGCGCAAGCCUGAUCCAGCCAUACCGCGUGGGUGAAGAAGGCCUUCGGGUUGUAAAGCCCUUUUGUUGGGAAAGAAACCCAUCUGGUUAAUACCCGGGUGGGAUGACGGUACCCAAAGAAUAAGCACCGGCUAACUUCGUGCCAGCCGCCGCCGUAA